rnacentral:rRNA from 1 species
CCUACGGGGGGCAGCAGUGGGGAAUAUUGCACAAUGGGCGCAAGCCUGAUGCAGCCAUGCCGCGUGUGUGAAGAAGGCCUUCGGGUUGUAAAGCACUUUCAGCGGGGAGGAAGGCGUUAAGGUUAAUAACCUUGUCGAUUGACGUUACCCGCAGAAGAAGCACCGGCUAACUCCGUGCCAGCAGCCGCGGUAAUACGGAGGGUGCAAGCGUUAAUCGGAAUUACUGGGCGUAAAGCGCACGCAGGCGGUCUGUCAAGUCGGAUGUGAAAUCCCCGGGCUCAACCUGGGAACUGCAUUCGAAACUGGCAGGAUAGAGUCUUGUAGAGGGGGGUAGAAUUCCAGGUGUAGCGGUGAAAUGCGUAGAGAUCUGGAGGAAUACCGGUGGCGAAGGCGGCCCCCUGGACAAAGACUGACGCUCAGGUGCGAAAGCGUGGGGAGCAAACAGGAUUAGAUACCCUAGUAGUC